UGAUGAUGAUGAUGAUGAUGAUGGUGAUGAUGAUGAUGGUGAUGAUGAUGAUGAUGAUAAUAAUAAUGUCAUCAUCAUCCCAUCUGUUGUUAUCAUCAUCCCAUUAUCAUCACCAUCAUCAUCAUCCCAU
rnacentral:pre_miRNA from 1 species